UACGAAGGGGGCUAGCGUUGCUCGGAAUCACUGGGCGUAAAGGGUGCGUAGGCGGGUCUUUAAGUCAGGGGUGAAAUCCUGGAGCUCAACUCCAGAACGGCCUUUGAUACUGAGGAUCUUGAGUUCGGGAGAGGUGAGUGGAACUGCGAGUGUAGAGGUGAAAUUCGUAGAUAUUCGCAAGAACACCAGUGGCGAAGGCGGCUCACUGGCCCGAUACUGACGCUGAGGCACGAAAGCGUGGGGAGC
rnacentral:rRNA from 1 species